AGCUACUCAAAAGCUAACGCCGAACACGCCCUUAAACAACAAAACCCUACCCCUUUCUCUUCUUAUUUCCCAAGCUUUACCACGCCAUUCACGCCGUUUUCUCUUUCUCUUUCCUCUUCUAUCCUCUUAUCUCCUUUCCCAGAGCAAAAACGCCGCUACCACCACCUCCUUAACGUCGAUGUCGCUUAUCUCUUCCUUAACGUCGAUGUCGCUUAUUUCUUCCGUCCUCAACAUUAGCGUUGCUUCCUCCUCAACGCCAAAGGAGAAAUCGCCCCCUCACUUUGCCGGGGAUGCGUCGGUGUCGAGUUGAUGCUUAAAUUGGUAUUGUUUGAAGAAUUGCAUCGCUACAUAUUUGGUUGAACCGCAACUACUCUCUUACGUUUGUUGCUUAAAUUCGCUGAAAAUCAAGUCCGAAAAUUGAACUGGGCAUGCAUCUAAAUUUGUUGCUAUUCUCUACAUAACUCAUCGAUUUGCUGGAGUCCAAUUUUUUCUUGAAUUUUGAGUGUUCAUUUUCUGCCUUCAAUCUUCACAAGAAAAAGGAAAGAAAGGAGGUCGGUGCAUAUACUGGGUGGUCAAAGUUCAUUAUUGAAUUUUAUUGUAAUUAGAGAUUAGAGAAUUACAAUGAGACUAAUGUAACAUUUUUUUUUUAUUAUUCUUCACACUAUUGCUCAAGUAGUACAUUGCUGUGUUGUAACUCUAUUUUGCUUAAUUUCAAUAUCAUUUUAUUUUUUGUUA